GGUCAGCUGACACAUCCCGGCCAAUCUCCAGCAGACCCUCCCUCCCAGACCCUCCUACUUCCUGGACAGCAUCCAUGUUGAAGACAGCUUCAACAUGGAUGCUGUCCAGGAGGUGGGAGGGUCUGGGAGGGAGGGUCUGCCAGAGAUUGGCAUGGAUGUGUCAG
rnacentral:miRNA from 1 species